GGCCCAAGUUUUUCUAAAUUGAAAUACACUGAUGCAUAUCUCCUACUAAUUCGGAGGGAUCAAUUCCAUCUUGACUCAUGCACCGACUUGAUAAGUACUUGACUGUAUCCAAAAAUCUUUUAUCACUGAAUUAGAAGCUUAGUUAGUAUGACAUCAAAGUACAGUGAGUUGCUUACAAGUCACCGUGGUGAUCUCAGGUCGGAGGGACACUUAUACCCAUACCCUUCGUGAGCUACCCUUGACAGUAGAGUACUUCGCAGUUGGCCAUGUUCAGUGAUGAUGUACUCCUACAUCUCACGUGCAUGCCAUAUCAGUAUCUUUAUACCAUUUGGUUAUGAAGAUAAUCAAUGAUAUGGCACACAACGAUCUAAACUUGAUAUCGCUAUCGUCUUAGUAACAGCGUAUCGUUUGGUCAC
rnacentral:lncRNA from 1 species